GUUUUUGUGGUGUAGUGGUCAGCACGCUCGACGCGUAUUCGAGAGGUGCGUGGUUCGAGUCCCGUCGAGGGCA
rnacentral:tRNA from 1 species